rnacentral:tRNA from 1 species
GGGGUUGUGGCUCAGUGGUAGAGCACUUGCCUAGCAUGUAUGAGGCACUGGGUUCAAUUCUCAGCACCA